AGGGCUCCGGAGUAGCCCUUUCCUUCUCGCUUCGUCAGCACCGAGAGUGCCCUCGUUGGGAACGGGGGCCUUAGCGGUCUCGUCAUUUACGAAGCGGAUGGGCUCCUGGACUCUGGGGCCUCGAACUGUUUCGAAGACUGAUGGGCAAAAGCCCCUGCAGCCCAGGGGCCGGCGGUUAGGGGGCUUGGCCGGGGCUGGAGUUUGGCCGUCGGAGCUCGGCUGGUCAAAGCUUGCCGCUGGUCCCCGGCUAUCCGCAGGUUCCAAAGAGGGGAUGAUUCCUUUACCUGGGUCCCAGAUUGAUGGAACAAAGCUGAAGAUGACUGUGGUUGACAAACAACAUGAAGAGAAAUAAACCUUACUUGACAAAGGAGCUGUUGUAGCCACAGGAUGGCAGAAACUCCGUCAUCAUGGUCCUUGAAUAAGAUGGCCUCCCCAUCUG